UCCAUUGUUGAGUAUCACACAUAACCACUAAUUGUCUCAUUCCAACACUCUCUAGAACGUCAGAGGAAAAUGUGCGGCCCCAGAACACUUUUUGAUUCCCCAGCUUCCUUUUCUCAGACCUCAGAGUUUCACUCACUUUUCCUUUCUUGACGGAACUAGGUUCCUUAUCCUCACCAUCAUCAUCCCUUUUUCUUUUCAUUGACUUGCUAACGGACUUUUCCUUCUCCAAUGACUUGCUCUGUCUAUGUUCACCAGCUUUCUCCACUUCUUCCUUAUCGUACUUGUCACCAUACUUCUUCAUUGUUUUGUCACUAGAACGUUUUG
rnacentral:lncRNA from 1 species